CCCUGGAGGACUAGUGGUUAGGCCACAGCACCCUUACCGCUGCGGCCCAGGUUCGAUUCCCGGCCACUGGGG
rnacentral:tRNA from 1 species